AGUCGACGCUGAAGCUUGGUGCUUGCACUGGGUGGAUGAGUGGCGAACGGGUGAGUAAUACGUGAGUAACCUGCCCUUGACUCUGGGAUAAGCCUGGGAAACUGGGUCUAAUACUGGAUACGACAUGUCACCGCAUGGUGGUGUGUGGAAAGGGUUUUACUGGUUUUGGAUGGGCUCACGGCCUAUCAGCUUGUUGGUGGGGUAAUGGCUCACCAAGGCGACGACGGGUAGCCGGCCUGAGAGGGUGACCGGCCACACUGGGACUGAGACACGGCCCAGACUCCUACGGGAGGCAGCAGUGGGGAAUAUUGCACAAUGGGCGGAAGCCUGAUGCAGCGACGCCGCGUGAGGGAUGACGGCCUUCGGGUUGUAAACCUCUUUCAGCACGGAAGAAGCGAAAGUGACGGUACGUGCAGAAGAAGCGCCGGCUAACUACGUGCCAGCAGCCGCGGUAAUACGUAGGGCGCAAGCGUUGUCCGGAAUUAUUGGGCGUAAAGAGCUCGUAGGCGGUUUGUCGCGUCUGCUGUGAAAGCCCGGGGCUUAACCCCGGGUGUGCAGUGGGUACGGGCAGACUUGAGUGCAGUAGGGGAGACUGGAAUUCCUGGUGUAGCGGUGAAAUGCGCAGAUAUCAGGAGGAACACCGAUGGCGAAGGCAGGUCUCUGGGCUGUUACUGACGCUGAGGAGCGAAAGCAUGGGGAGCGAACAGGAUUAGAUACCCUGGUAGUCCAUGCCGUAAACGUUGGGCACUAGGUGUGGGGAACAUUCCACGUUUUCCGCGCCGUAGCUAACGCAUUAAGUGCCCCGCCUGGGGAGUACGG
rnacentral:rRNA from 1 species